GCCGUUGUAGCUCAGGGGUAGAGCACUUCCUUGGUAGGGAAGAGGUCGUGAGUUCGAUUCUCACUAACGGCUCAA
rnacentral:tRNA from 1 species